AACCUCCGCAAUGUGAGAAAUCGCGACGGGGGGAUCCCAAGUGCCAUUCCUAACGGGAUGGCUUUUCAUUAGUGUAAAGAGCUUUUGGAAUAAGAGCUGGGCAAGACCGGUGCCAGCCGCCGCGGUAACACCGGCAGCUCUAGUGGUAGCAAUUUUUAUUGGGCCUAAAGCGUCCGUAGCCGGUUUAAUAAGUCUCUGGUGAAAUCCUGCAGCUUAACUGUGGGAAUUGCUGGAGAUACUAUUAGACUUGAGAUCGGGAGAGGUUAGAGGUACUCCCAGGGUAGAGGUGAAAUUCUGUAAUCCUGGGAGGACCGCCUGUUGCGAAGGCGUCUAACUGGAACGGUUCUGACGGUGAGGGACGAAAGUUAGGGGCGCGAACCGGAUUAGAUACCCGGGUAGUCCUAGCCGUAAACGAUGCGGACUUGGUGUUGGGAUGGCUUUGAGCCGCUCCGGUGCCGAAGGGAAGCUGUUAAGUCCACCGCCUGGGAAGUACGGUCGCAAGAUUGAAACUUAAAGGAAUU
rnacentral:rRNA from 1 species